AACCCAGAUGUCCAACCAACAACGCUGAAGUCCUUGCUGGCACAUGGCGAAUUGCCGGUGGUUAAAACAAGGCCUCCUCCACUAUCAAAGCUUUUGGUCAGUUGUUGUUGUGGUUCUUUUCAUCGGCGGCGGUGGCUGCUGCUUUCAUUUUACCAGCAGAACCGCCGCCAGUGGAAACGCCAGCAGUGGCAGGCGAAAGCUGGGUGACUCCGAGGCUGGUACCCCGUGGACUUCGAUUUUGACUCUCUUCUUUGCUCUUACUCGGCUUUUUACCCCACCAAGCAGACAUUUUUUUUAAAAUGAAAUUAUUUCUUCUCUAGGAUGACGAUGACAAUGAACAAUAAGAAG